rnacentral:rRNA from 1 species
UACCAGCACCCCGAGUGGUCGGGACGAUUAUUGGGCCUAAAGCAUCCGUAGCCGGUUCUGCAAGUCCCCUGUUAAAUCCAGCUGCUCAACAGAUGGGCCGCGGAGGAUACUACAGAGCUAAGAGGCAGGAGAGGCAAGCGGUACUCAGUGGGUAGGGGUAAAAUCCGUUGAUCCAUUGAAGACCACCAGUGGCGAAGGCGGCUUGCCAGAAUGCGCUCGACGGUGAGGGAUGAAAGCUGGGGGAGCAAACCGG